rnacentral:rRNA from 1 species
UACGUAGGGUGCAAGCGUUAAUCGGAAUUACUGGGCGUAAAGCGUGCGCAGGCGGUUAUGUAAGACAGAUGUGAAAUGCCCGGGCUUAACCUGGGAACUGCAUUUGUGACUGCAUGGCUAGAGUUUGGCAGAGGGGGGUAGAAUUCCACGUGUAGCAGUGAAAUGCGUAGAUAUGUGGAGGAACACCGAUGGCGAAGGCACUCUGCUGGGCCGACACUGACACUGAGAGACGAAAGCUAGGGGAGCGAAUGGG